rnacentral:rRNA from 1 species
CUACGGGGUGCUGCAGUGGGGGAUAUUGCACAAUGGGCGCAAGCCUGAUGCAGCCAUGCCGCGUGUAUGAAGAAGGCCUUCGGGUUGUAAAGUACUUUCAGCGGGGAGGAAGGGAGUAAAGUUAAUACCUUUGCUCAUUGACGUUACCCGCAGAAGAAGCACCGGCUAACUCCGUGCCAGCAGCCGCGGUAAUACGGAGGGUGCAAGCGUUAAUCGGAAUUACUGGGCGUAAAGCGCACGCAGGCGGUUUGUUAAGUCAGAUGUGAAAUCCCCGGGCUCAACCUGGGAACUGCAUCUGAUACUGGCAAGCUUGAGUCUCGUAGAGGGGGAUAGAAUUCCAGGUGUAGCAGUGAAAUGCGUAGAGAUCUGGAGGAAUACCGGUGGCGAAGGCGGCCCCCUGGACGAAGACUGACGCUCAGGUGCGAAAGCGUGGGGAGCAAACAGGAUUAGAUACCCCAGUAGUC